GAGUUUGAUCAUGGCUCAGAUUGAACGCUGGCGGCAUGCCUUACACAUGCAAGUCGAACGGCAGCACGGGAGCUUGCUCCUGGUGGCGAGUGGCGAACGGGUGAGUAAUGCAUCGGAACGUAUCCUGGAGUGGGGGAUAACGUAGCGAAAGUUACGCUAAUACCGCAUAUUCUGUGAGCAGGAAAGCGGGGGACCUUCGGGCCUCGCGCUCUUGGAGCGGCCGAUGUCGGAUUAGCUAGUUGGUGAGGUAAAGGCUCACCAAGGCGACGAUCCGUAGCAGGUCUGAGAGGAUGAUCUGCCACACUGGAACUGAGACACGGUCCAGACUCCUACGGGAGGCAGCAGUGGGAAUUUUGGACAAUGGGGGCAACCCUGAUCCAGCCAUGCCGCGUGAGUGAAGAAGGCCU
rnacentral:rRNA from 2 species